rnacentral:rRNA from 1 species
UACGUAGGGUGCAAGCGUUGUCCGGAAUUAUUGGGCGUAAAGAGCUCGUAGGCGGUCUGUCGCGUCUGCUGUGAAAACUCAGGGCUUAACCCUGAGCUUGCAGUGGGUACGGGCAGACUAGAGUGCGGUAGGGGAGACUGGAAUUCCUGGUGUAGCGGUGAAAUGCGCAGAUAUCGAGGAGGAACACCGGUGGCGAAGGCGGGUCUCU